CUCAUUCACUAUUCUCCUUUCUCCCUCUCCCCCACCACACACCGCACAGUAUACUGCUCACUACGGCCCAUAGGUGCAGAAGGUGGAAGACGCCGGCUACUGCUCCGGAGACGGAUCCGGCAUUGGAGAAGGUCUGUCGUCAUGGAGCCACCGGAUCCAUCAAAGAAAAGGAAUCUGCCAUGUGAGGAGGGCGGCAAGCAGGGGAACACCAAAAAGCCGAGGUGUGUCCGUCGUGGGGGAGAAAGUACGGAUGGAGAUGCAGCUCAGCUGGUUUGCGGUGGUGCUAGCAACCAAAACACCGAUGUCGACAGAUCCAAUGCCUCGGUUGGUGAGGAGGAGGGAGGAGAAGCACGGCCUCGUAGUGGUCAAAAAAGGAAACGGGUGUUGGUGGACCAGAACAGCUGCAUGGGGGCAAGGGGGCGUAGAUCUAGUAGGACACUAGUUCUUGUUAAUAGAUCUGCGCUCUCGCAGAUUGAAAAUCUACCGAUCGUUCCACACAGUUUCCCAUCAGAGUCGACCCUCCUCUGUGGUAGGGUAGUUAAAUGUACUUGGAGUUGUCAUCAGAUCCUCAAGCUUGGGAUGCUGUACUAUCUGCUAGUUCAUAGGACUGGGAUGGCUAGUCUGUUGACCGCUGCAUGGGAUGGAGAGGCUGAUAGGAGGUUCUACGCUUGGCUGCUGAGUAGGUUUAGGUGACAAGACAUGAGAUUCACCUUUCCUGAUGGGCAGUUUAGAUUUUUUACCCCGGGUUCCAUAGUCUGGACUCUGGGACUUAGAAAUUCUGGGUGCCGUGUGAGUAUGCUUAAGCUGUCGCCCAAGAUAAGGAAAGAGUACGGUGAAACUAUUAGGUGUACCAUAGGAAUAGAGUCCAGGAGGCAUGCCAGGGAUGGAGGGUUAAGCAUUCGUGCUGUUAAUGAAGCUAUUACUAUGAUGAAGUCGUUAAAUCUUGACAGCAGGCAGACCAGGGCCUUUGAGAUGGCAUUUUCCCUGCUGGCUGCUGGUACAUAUGUCGGCCCUAAGCAAUCGUACACUUCAAUACCAUGGGAAAUGUUGGCAUGUGUCCUUGAUGAGAAUGGCACUGGUGAGUACGACCUAGCAGAGUGGGUGUUUCUAAUUAUCAGAGCAGCUGCUAAGAAACUUCAGGAAGAUUUGGAUGCUGGCGUCAGGUCGCUCAUAGUUGGAGGCUGCCACUUGGCUCUUAUUCCAUGGUUCUUCAACUGGAUCGACUUUGGACAUCACAGUGUUGAACCCCAUACACUCCCGCGCAUCAGUGUUUACACAACCCAGAUAUGUAGGAGGUUGAACUACCUGACAAGGGAGUAUCCAAAUAUAUUCAGAGUAAG